GGCUGGUUAGCUCAGUGGUUAGAGCUUUGGUCUUGAGAGCGAGAGGUCUAAGGAUCGAAUCUCGCCAGAGGCA
rnacentral:tRNA from 1 species